rnacentral:tRNA from 1 species
CUCCAGUUGCAAGGUGUGCUUGCCAGGUGCCAGGGUCACUUCGGUUUCGGUCUGGGCCUUGCCGAAGUGGAUGUGCUGGGCGUCCGCCGGAAUC